GAUGAAGAACGUAGCGAAAUGCGAUACUUGGUGUGAAUUGCAGAAUCCCGUGAACCAUCGAGUCUUUGAACGCAAGUUGCGCCCGAAGCCAUUAGGCCGAGGGCACGCCUGCCUGGGCGUCACACGUCGUUGCCCCCCCAUCUACUCCUUCGGGAUUGCGGGGGGCGGAUGAUGGCCUCUCGUGCGCCUCGUCGCGCGGUUGGCCUAAAUGCCAAGUCCUCGGCGACGCACGCCACGACAAUCGGUGGUUGCGAAACCUCGGUUGCCUGUCGUGUGCGGUCGUCGCGCAUCGAGGGCUCGAAAAAAUUGCCGGGCUUCGGCUCGACUUUCAACGCGACCCCAGGUCAGGCGGGGUUACCCGCUGAAUUUAAGCAUCUCAAUAAGCGGAGGA
rnacentral:misc_RNA from 1 species